CAUGCAAGUCGAACGAAGUAGCAAUACUUAGUGGCAGACGGGUGAGUAACAUGUAGGUAUCUGCCCUUUGGCCUGGAAUAACACGAGGAAACUUGUGCUAAUACCGGAUAAGUCUUUACGGAGAAAGCUUUAUGCACCAUUGGAUGAGCCUGCACUUGAUUAGUUUGUUGGUGGGGUAAUGGCCUACCAAGACUGUGAUCAAUAGCUGAUUUGAGAGGAUGAUCAGCCACAUUGGGACUGGGACACGGCCCAAACUCCUACGGGAGGCAGCAGUGGGGAAUCUUGCACAAUGGAGGAAACUCUGAUGCAGCGAUGCCGCGUGAGUGAAGAAGGCCUUUGGGUUGUAAAGCUCUUUCGUCGGGGAAGAAAAUGACUGUACCCGAAUAAGAAGGUCCGGCUAACUUCGUGCCAGCAGCCGCGGUAAUACGAAGGGACCUAGCGUAGUUCGGAAUUACUGGGCUUAAAGAGUUCGUAGGUGGUUGAAAAAGUUGGUGGUGAAAUCCCAGAGCUUAACUCUGGAACUGCCAUCAAAACUUUUCAGCUAGAGUAUGAUAGAGGAAAGCAGAAUUUCUAGUGUAGAGGUGAAAUUCGUAGAUAUUA
rnacentral:rRNA from 1 species